AUGCUUGCUUCAGCAGCACAUAUACUAAAAUUGGAACAAUAUAGACAAGAUUAGCAUGGCCCCUGUGUUUAAAAAUAAAUGAAAAAAUAAAAAAAGCAAGUAAUAUAU